GACGAACGCUGGCGGCGUGCCUAAUACAUGCAAGUCGAACGCACUCUCGUUUAGAUUGAAGGAGCUUGCUCCUGAUUGAUAAACAUUUGAGUGAGUGGCGGACGGGUGAGUAACACGUGGGUAACCUGCCCUAAAGUGGGGGAUAACAUUUGGAAACAGAUGCUAAUACCGCAUAAAACCUAACACCGCAUGGUGUAGGGUUGAAAGAUGGUUUCGGCUAUCACUUUAGGAUGGACCCGCGGUGCAUUAGUUAGUUGGUGAGGUAAAGGCUCACCAAGACCGUGAUGCAUAGCCGACCUGAGAGGGUAAUCGGCCACACUGGGACUGAGACACGGCCCAGACUCCUACGGGAGGCAGCAGUAGGGAAUCUUCCACAAUGGACGAAAGUCUGAUGGAGCAACGCCGCGUGAGUGAAGAAGGUUUUCGGAUCGUAAAACUCUGUUGUUGGAGAAGAAUGUAUUUGAUAGUAACUGAUCAGGUAGUGACGGUAUCCAAACCAGAAAAGCCCACGG
rnacentral:rRNA from 1 species